rnacentral:rRNA from 1 species
GACGAACGCUGGCGGCGUGCUUAACACAUGCAAGUCGAACGGAAAGGCCUGCUUUCCCUUGUGGAUUGCGGGAACUCGAGUGGCGAACGGGUGAGUAACACGUGAGUGAUCUGCCCCCAACUUGGGUAUAAGCCUGGGAAACUGGGUCUAAUUCCCGAUAGGACUGCAGGGUGGUGCCUGUGGUGGAAAACGAUCUUCUAGUGGUUGGGGAUGAGCUCUCGGACUAUCAGCUUGUGGGUGGGGUAAGGGCUUACGAAGGCGGGGACGGGUAGCCGGCCUGAGAGUGGGGACCGCCAGAGUGGGACUGGGAUACGGCCCAGAGUGCUACGGGAGGCAGCAGUGGGGGAUAUUGCAGUAUGGGAGGAAGCCUGAUGCAGCAACGCUGCGUGGGGGAUGACGGCCUUCGGGUUGUAAACUCCUUUCGACCGCGAGGAAGCCACCUGGUUGGAAGGGUGGUGACGGUAGUGGUAGAAGAAGCACCGGCUAACUACGUG